UACGUAGGAUGCAAGCGUUAUCCGGAUUUAUUGGGCGUAAAGAGAACGUAGGCGGUCUCUUAAGUUUGGGGUUAAAGACCAAGGCUCAACCUUGGGAGUGCCCUGAAUACUGGGGGACUGGAGGACGGCAGAGGAAAGUGGAAUUCCCAGUGUAGCGGUGAAAUGCGUAGAUAUUGGGAGGAACACCAGUGGCGAAAGCGACUUUCUGGGCCGUUCCUGACGCUGAGGUCCGAAAGCCAGGGGAGCAAAC
rnacentral:rRNA from 1 species